UUUUUAAUCUACACUAUUGUCCUAUAUUAACUAUAUAUAAAGUUGAAUUCUGUGAUUUGUGGUUUUUACCCGAUGGCGGCUGACAAAUUGGACCUCGUCAUUUUAGUAUUAUAGAUAUAUAUAUAUAUUGAUUUAAAGGAAUACAUGGAUUAUAGUUCAAAGUGUCUGUAUUGUUUAAUUUCAUUGUUUUAUAUAUGUAAACUGUAUAUCAUGUAUAAUGUUUUAA
rnacentral:lncRNA from 1 species